GACGAACGCUGGCGGCGCGCUUAACACAUGCAAGUCGAACGGAAAGGCCUGCUUUCCCUUGUGGAUUGCGGGUACUCGAGUGGCGAACGGGUGAGUAACACGUGAGUGAUCUGCCACCAACUUGGGUAUAAGCCUGGGAAACUGGGUCUAAUUCCCGAUAGGACUGCAGGGUGGUGCCUGUGGUGGAAAACGAUUUUCUAGUGGUUGGGGAUGAGCUCGCGGCCUAUCAGCUUGUUGGUGGGGUAAUGGCCUACCAAGGCGGCGACGGGUAGCCGGCCUGAGAGGGUGGACGGCCACAUUGGGACUGAGAUACGGCCCAGACUCCUACGGGAGGCAGCAGUGGGGAAUAUAGCACAAUGGGCGGAAGCCUGAUGCAGCGACGCCGCGUGGGGGAUGACGGCCUUCGGGUUGUAAACUCCUUUCGACCGCGAGGAAGCCACCUGGUUGGAAGGGUGGUGACGGUAGUGGGAGAAGAAGCACCGGCUAACUACGUG
rnacentral:rRNA from 1 species